UGCGGGGUGGUCCAGCGGCUACGACGCGCGGCUCUGGUCCGCGAAACGGAGGUUCGACUCCUCCCCCCGCAG
rnacentral:tRNA from 1 species